rnacentral:rRNA from 1 species
UACGUAGGGCGCAAGCGUUGUCCGGAAUUAUUGGGCGUAAAGAGCUCGUAGGCGGCUUGUCACGUCGGAUGUGAAAGCCCGGGGCUUAACCCCGGGUCUGCAUUCGAUACGGGCUAGCUAGAGUGUGGUAGGGGAGAUCGGAAUUCCUGGUGUAGCGGUGAAAUGCGUAGAUAUCAGGAGGAAUACCUAUGGCGAAAGCAGGUAUCUGGGCCAUCACUGACGCUGAGCUGCGAAAGCUAGGGGAGCAAACAGG